CACGUAGGAUCCGAGCGUUAUCCGAAUUUACUGGGCGUAAAGCGCGUGCAGGCGGCUGGGUAAGUUGGGCGUGAAAUCUCCCGGCUCAACUGGGAGAGGUCGUCCAAAACUACCUGGCUAGAGGGCGGUAGAGGGAGGUGGAAUUCCCGGUGUAGUGGUGAAAUGCGUAGAUAUCGGGAGGAACACCAGUGGCGAAAGCGGCCUCCUGGACCGUACCUGACGCUCAGACGCGAAAGCUAGGGGAGCGAACGGG
rnacentral:rRNA from 1 species